GAAGAGGGCGUGGCUGGCGCAGACUUGGUGUUACGUGAUAGGGACCAUGCGUAUCAAUGAGGACACAGUGAUGAAAGGACAGCGGGUGAUUUUAGUGCCCUAUGAGCCUCACCAUGUUGCCAGGUACCAUGAGUGGAUGCAGUCGGAGGAGCUGCAGCAACUAACAGCUUCUGCACCUUUGACCCUGGAGCAGGAAUAUGAUAUGCAGCGCAGCUGGAGAGAGGAUGAGGACAGUAAGUGGCA